AUAACGCACGCAUCGUGCGGAUUUGAACCUGCGCAGGUUCGAGUCGAGCGCAGCGAGCCAGCGUUGCCGGAACGGCAACGACCCGAAGGGCGAGGCCAACGGCCGAGUCAUCCUGUACGUGCGCGGU
rnacentral:sRNA from 1 species